UACGAAGGGGGCUAGCGUUGUUCGGAAUCACUGGGCGUAAAGCGCACGUAGGCGGACUUUCAAGUCAGGGGUGAAAAUCCCGGGGCUCAACCUCGGAAUUGCCUUUGAUACUGUAGGUCUCGAGUCCGGAAGAGGUGGGUGGAAUUCCUAGUGUAGAGGUGAAAUUCGUAGAUAUUAGGAAGAACACCGGUGGCGAAGGCGGCCCACUGGUCCGGUACUGACGCUGAGGUGCGAAAGCGUGGGGAGCAAACAGG
rnacentral:rRNA from 1 species